rnacentral:rRNA from 1 species
AUUGAACGCUGGCGGCAUGCUUUACACAUGCAAGUCGAACGGCAGCGCGGGCUUCGGCCUGGCGGCGAGUGGCGAACGGGUGAGUAAUGCAUCGGAACGUGCCCAGUAGUGGGGGAUAGCCCAGCGAAAGCCGGAUUAAUACCGCAUACGACCUGAGGGUGAAAGCGGGGGACCGAAAGGCCUCGCGCUAUUGGAGCGGCCGAUGUCGGAUUAGCUAGUUGGUGGGUAAAGGCUUACCAAGGCGACGAUCCGUAGCUGGUCUGAGAGGACGACCAGCCACACUGGGACUGAGACACGGCCCAGACUCCUACGGGAGGCAGCAGUGGGGAAUUUUGGACAAUGGGGGCAACCCUGAUCCAGCCAUGCCGCGUGCGGGAAGAAGGCCUUCGGGUUGUAAACCGCUUUUGUUCGGGAAGAAAUCCUCUGGGCUAAUACCCCGGGGGGAUGACGGUACCGGAAGAAUAAGCACCGGCUAACUACGUG